rnacentral:piRNA from 1 species
UUAAAGUCGGAGUGGGUCAGAGAGG